rnacentral:rRNA from 1 species
GAUAAACGCUGGCGGCGUGCCUAAUACAUGCAAGUCGAGCGAACGGACGAGAAGCUUGCUUCUCUGAUGUUAGCGGCGGACGGGUGAGUAACACGUGGAUAACCUACCUAUAAGACUGGGAUAACUUCGGGAAACCGGAGCUAAUACCGGAUAAUAUUUUGAACCGCAUGGUUCAAAAGUGAAAGACGGUCUUGCUGUCACUUAUAGAUGGAUCCGCGCUGCAUUAGCUAGUUGGUAAGGUAACGGCUUACCAAGGCAACGAUGCAUAGCCGACCUGAGAGGGUGAUCGGCCACACUGGAACUGAGACACGGUCCAGACUCCUACGGGAGGCAGCAGUAGGGAAUCUUCCGCAAUGGGCGAAAGCCUGACGGAGCAACGCCGCGUGAGUGAUGAAGGUCUUCGGAUCGUAAAACUCUGUUAUUAGGGAAGAACAUAUGUGUAAGUAACUGUGCACAUCUUGACGGUACCUAAUCAGAAAGCCACGGCUAACUACGUGCCAGCAGCCGCGGUAAUACGUAGGUGGCAAGCGUUAUCCGGAAUUAUUGGGCGUAAAGCGCGCGUAGCGGUUUUUUAGUCUGAUGUGAAAGCCCACGGCUCAACCGUGGAGGGUCAUUGGAAACUGGAAAACUUGAGUGCAGAAGAGGAAAGUGGAAUUCCAUGUGUAGCGGUGAAGUGCGCAGAGAUAUGGAGGAACACCAGUGGCGAAGGCGACUUUCUGGUCUGUAACUGACGCUGAUGUGCGAAAGCGUGGGGAUCAAACAGGAUUAGAUACCCUGGUAGUCCACGCCGUAAACGAUGAGUGCUAAGUGUUAGGGGGUUUCCGCCCCUUAGUGCUGCAGCUAACGCAGUAAGCACUCCGCCUGGGGAGUACGACCGCAAGGUUGAAACUCAAAGGAAUUGACGGGGACCCGCACAAGCGGUGGAGCAUGUGGUUUAAUUCGAAGCAACGCGAAGAACCUUACCAAAUCUUGACAUCCUUUGACAACUCUAGAGAUAGAGCCUUCCCCUUCGGGGGACAAAGUGACAGGUGGUGCAUGGUUGUCGUCAGCUCGUGUCGUGAGAUGUUGGGUUAAGUCCCGCAACGAGCGCAACCCUUAAGCUUAGUUGCCAUCAUUAAGUUGGGCACUCUAAGUUGACUGCCGGUGACAAACCGGAGGAAGGUGGGGAUGACGUCAAAUCAUCAUGCCCCUUAUGAUUUGGGCUACACACGUGCUACAAUGGACAAUACAAAGGGCAGCGAAACCGCGAGGUCAAGCAAAUCCCAUAAAGUUGUUCUCAGUUCGGAUUGUAGUCUGCAACUCGACUACAUGAAGCUGGAAUCGCUAGUAAUCGUAGAUCAGCAUGCUACGGUGAAUACGUUCCCGGGUCU